CACGCCGUAAACGAUGAGUGCUAGGUGUUAGGGGGUUUCCGCCCCUUAGUGCUGGCGUUAACGCAUUAAGCACUCCGCCUGGGGAGUACGGCCGCAAGGCUGAAACUCAAAAGAAUUGACGGGGACCCGCACAAGCGGUGGAGCAUGUGGUUUAAUUCGAAGCAACGCGAAGAACCUUACCAGGUCUUGACAUCCUUAUGCCCGCUCUAGAGAUAGAGUUUUCCCUUCGGGGACAUAAGUGACAGGUGG
rnacentral:rRNA from 1 species